rnacentral:tRNA from 1 species
AGCUCAGUUGGUAGAGCAGUUGACUUUUAAUCAAUUGGUCGAUGGUUCAAAUCCAUCA